rnacentral:lncRNA from 1 species
GACGAGGUCCCAGGAGGGUGACCUGCAAAGACUGCCCUGUCCAGGGCUGGGGGGAGACCUGUGCCUCUCGCUCCUGGUCUGGGCUUGGCUGGUCACCGAGGGCCCUGCAGGGGACGUCGCCUGGUCUCUGCUGCAGUGUCAGGUGUGGCUUGGGGCUGGGGCUUCCCAUCAGGUCUACCGGUCUCCUGGUUUUAGUCACACUGUCCCCGGCUGGCUGCCUUCUUCCCACGGCGGAGGGUGGACCUGACAUCAAGGCCAGGCGCGGUGCUGAGCACCUGUCAUCCCAGCGACCCGGAGGCUGAGGCAGGAGGAUGGCAAGUCCCAGGCCAGCCUCAGCAGCUUGGUGAGGCCCUGAGCAACUCGGGGGUGGUGGGGUGACCUCCCACUGGGCACGGCCUGGGCAGAGCUGCCUGGCCUGGUGCGUCCUAGCCAGGUCGCCUUCUCACUCCCUGCAGCAAGAACAGCCGUCCUGCCCGCUGGCGCCUGGGAGGACGCUCGGCAGCCGCUGGCCCUCACAGCUCGGGUGCUGGCUGGGUCUGGGGCGGAUUCCGUUUUCCAGGUGCUGGGAAGGGGACGGAGGACUGGGGACGGGCCUUGGAGGGACAGGCGCUCAUGGGCAUCAGACGCCUGCUGACCUUGACACCAACAGGCCCGGGGCGUGGGCAGGGCAUCUCCUGCCCUGCGGACCCUGUCCCAGCCUGCGGGAGGAGCCUGGCCUGCCCAGCGCAGUCCAGGGGCCGCCCGGGGCCCAGGGCACCCUUCCGUGCCUUUCCUCCUUGGGUCUCCAGCUCAGCUCCCUGAACUGCCCCUUGGUCCCUGAUGUCCCUUCCCCACAGUCCUGACACCUCGCAGAUCCCCGGGGGAGUGGCAGCGUCACCUGUGACUGGGGUCUCCGCCAACAGUUUCUGGUGGGCCCUCUCCUCCCCCCCUCUGCACCCAUUGGCCAGUGUCCUGGGCAGGCAGAGGGGUCAGGGGGCACCGUGGCUGCCAGCUUAGCUCCCGCCUCGGAGGAGGUCCUCGGAGCCGACAGAGGGACUGGGGAGGAGGACGGUUCCACGGGGCCACCGCAGACACCCCCAACCCGCCUCUCGUUUCUCCCUAGAGACAACGGCCUGGGGGGGCCGUGGAGGCUGGGCCUCAACUUGAACUUGACUUCCUCUUCCACCCGGGCGCCUCCCUCCUGGGGCCUGGAAGGAACUGGGCUGGCCGUGAGCCCUUCCCGAGUGGCUAACCUUCCUUGAGGACAUCAGUUCCAGCCUCAGUUUAAAGAUGGCGGGUGACACACGCCCUGGAAUAUCAUUCAGGCUUAAAAAGGCGGGGGACCCCGCCAUGAGGACACGGUUCCUUGAGCGGAGCCCAUCACAGGGGACACCCCUGCGGGAUCCCACUUCUCUGGAGAACCUGGGCACUAACUGCAGGAGACAGAAGGUAGAGGGGGGAGGCCGGGGCGGGGGCCGUCCAGGGGGUCAUUUCAGUUUAGCAAGAUACAAAGAGCCCGGGAGGCAGAGGCGGGAGGCGCAGCACGGUACCCAGCGGACACUGGGCGACGUCCUCAGAGAGUGUCCUUCACGUCACUCACUGCACACUGACAGUGGUGGAGGUGGUAAAUUUUAUGUCAAAUGCAUUUUAUCACAGUGUCACCCACAGGGUCAGGUGGUGCUCGGCGGAGUCACCUGCCCAAGGCUAACGGCUGCCCGCAGCACAGUCUGAACUUGAACCUCAGCGCAGGAUCCACCACUUCACGGGAAGUUGGGGAGAAGGACGCGGCAGGCCCCGAGGCACCACGGGCGGAGAGGGGCCCUGCAGGCCUGCACUGCCCCGGGCCUUGGGCUGGAGCACAGCGGCCACGUCCAUCCCACCUGUGGACGGGGGAUGGUGAGCAGCCUCGGGAGCAGGUGUCCCAGGGCUUGGAGGGAAGGGCUGAAUGCAGAGCAGGGCCCAUGGCAAUUCCCCCAGUGUGCUGUGACGGCGGGAAGGACGACACCUCGAGACUGCAUCUUGGGGGCUCCUGCAAGCAGGUAGCACAGGGUUUCAAGAGGAGACUGUGAGGGGGGCUGGGAUCUGGGAGACGUUACUGCCUGAAGGGACAGUCUGGAGGGAAGAUGUCUAAGCGCUUCUAAGAAUUUGCAACUAGACUGCGUGACUGGAGUGUAGGAGUGAAAACAGUGAAUCAGUUCUUUGGGUUGCAAUGAUAGAAAGGCAGCUUUCAGAACUGGCCGGGCGUUGGGCUUCAGGUAGAGCUGGAUCCAGGUGCUCAAGGGAUGUCAUUUAUAUCCUUUCUUUCUUGUUCCAUCUUUCUCCUUCCACUUCACUUGUACUUACUGGCUUCACACUGGGGUAGAGUCUGUCCACACCUCAGGGCUCCCCCCGCCCAUUUCAAUCUCAGUUUGCAAAGACCAUCUCUUUCCCAGGCUGACUCUGAUUGGCCCAGCUCCCGCGCCAACCCAGCCCUGAGCCAGGCAUGUCCUCAGGGUUGUGGUCCAGGCUGGGGCUUGGGGUCAGCUCUGCCUGGAGCGAAUGCUCUGACUUUGACAGUGGAGUCAGGGGAGUCCCUUCAAGGAAGACCAAGAAGUUUCCAGAAGAAGGGACAUGGACCCUGAGCCAGCAGAGGCCCAGAUGUCCCCUCCAGGUGGCCAGGGCUAGGGCUGCAGGGGCAGCUCUUCCGCUGACCGCACCCCACGCCCCCACCAGCCUCCCCUCGCUCACCCCUCCUUCCCGGACCCUCUGUGCACAGCCCUCUGCCUCCCUGGAGGGUGCAGUCCGCGCCCACAGAGGUGCCCGCCACACCUCCUGGCAGCCCAGCGUGCGCCGGCCCACCCCACCCCGCGGCGACUUCAUCACUGGGAUGAUCUCGAAGGUGGCCAGAGACACUGGGCCUCGGGCUGACCUGUCCUUCCCUGCUCCACCUCCCGCCCGCGCCGCCCUUGGCCACGGGGAGCACGGGCGUCCCUGCUCAGCUGACCUGGGUCAGGGUGGCGCCCACAGUCCCAGGCAGCCUCCCGGCCGUGCCAGGGCCACCAGAGAACAGGCCUGGCCCUGGCCCUGGUAAACGCUGUCAUUUGUUCAAAAUUGGAAGAGCCUGCCGGCCCCGGGUGACGUUAUCUGUGAUCACUGGGUCCCCGGGGUUUGGUCCAAGAUGCCAUCGGCGGGGGGAGCCCUAUGUCCUCUUCCCUUCUGGGCCCCACAUCCCCGGUCCCAAUGGCCGUCACUCCUGCCACCUCACUCCCCUCCGGUCCUGUCUGCAGGCAGAGGCCAAUGCCCUCAGGCAGAGGUGGCAUGUGAGGACAGGGGGCUGUAGAGGCAGCGAUGCUCUUUGGAAGUCAGGGAAGCAAGUCUUCGAGCAGUGGCCGGCAAGCCAGGAGGAAAGGCUCCCUGUAGGAACCAGGGGAUGGGCUUCCAGGCAAGGGAACAGCAUGUGCAAUGGUCCUGAGGUGGGAGAGUGGUUGGUACAUUGGGAGCACUGAGCAGAGGGGACCACAGCAAGGCUAGUGACCAGGGAAAGUGAUCAAAAUAAGUCUUGACGUGUGGCCACAGUAGGAUCAUUGGGGCCCUGCUGGGCACGAGGCUGAAUGAGGCAUGAUGGGAAAUCAGUGGUGGUGUCACGCUGCAGUUGGACACGAUCUGAUCAGCAGGAUCCAAGUCAGCAGGAUCACUGAAGGCUGGGCAGAGUGAAGGGUCAAGAGAAGCCGAGGCAGGCAGGGGCAG